rnacentral:rRNA from 1 species
GAUGAACGCUGGCGGCGUGCCUAAUACAUGCAAGUCGAGCGAACGGACGAGAAGCUUGCUUCUCUGAUGUUAGCGGCGGACGGGUGAGUAACACGUGGAUAACCUACCUAUAAGACUGGGAUAACUUCGGGAAACCGGAGCUAAUACCGGAUAAUAUUUUGAACCGCAUGGUUCAAAAGUGAAAGACGGUCUUGCUGUCACUUAUAGAUGGAUCCGCGCUGCAUUAGCUAGUUGGUAAGGUAACGGCUUACCAAGGCAACGAUGCAUAGCCGACCUGAGAGGGUGAUCGGCCACACUGGAACUGAGACACGGUCCAGACUCCUACGGGAGGCAGCAGUAGGGAAUCUUCCGCGAAGGGCGAAAGCCUGACGGAGCAACGCCGCGUGAGUGAUGAAGGUCUUCGGAUCGUAAAACUCUGUUAUUAGGGAAGAACAUAUGUGUAAGUAACUGUGCACAUCUUGACGGUACCUAAUCAGAAAGCCACGGCUAACUACGUG